rnacentral:rRNA from 1 species
AUUGAACGCUGGCGGCAGGCCUAACACAUGCCAGUCGAACGGAAAAGGGCAUCUUGGUGCUGACGAGAGGGGCACGGGGGUGUGUAAUGCCGAAAAGUCUGCGUGGGAGGGGGGUAUAACGGCGAGAGACGGGCGAUAAUACCACACGCGUCACGGGGGAGAAAGGGGGGGAGCUUGGGACCGCGCGCUCUGAGAUGACGCUAGGGCGGAUUGGCUAGUUGGUGGGGUAAAGGCCUACCAAGGCGACGAUCCGUAGCUGGUCUGAGAGGAUGAUCAGCCACACUGGAACUGAGACACGGCCCAGACUCCUACGGGAGGCAGCAGUGGGGAAUUUUGGACAAUGGGCGCAAGCCUGAUCCAGCCAUGCCGCGUGUGUGAUGAAGGCCUUCGGGUUGUAAAGUGAUUUUGUACGGAACGAAAAGCAUUCUUUUAAUACAUGGCUGUCAUGACGUUACCGUAAGAAUAAGCACCGGCUAACUACGUG